CCUACGGGCGGCUGCAGUGGGGAAUAUUGCACAAUGGGCGCAAGCCUGAUGCAGCCAUGCCGCGUGUGUGAAGAAGGCCUUCGGGUUGUAAAGCACUUUCAGCGGGGAGGAAGGCGUUAAGGUUAAUAACCUUGGCGAUUGACGUUACCCGCAGAAGAAGCACCGGCUAACUCCGUGCCAGCAGCCGCGGUAAUACGGAGGGUGCAAGCGUUAAUCGGAAUUACUGGGCGUAAAGCGCACGCAGGCGGUCUGUCAAGUCGGAUGUGAAAUCCCUGGGCUCAACCUGGGAACUGCAUUCGAAACUGGCAGGCUAGAGUCUUGUAGAGGGGGGUAGAAUUCCAGGUGUAGCGGUGAAAUGCGUAGAGAUCUGGAGGAAUACCGGUGGCGAAGGCGGCCCCCUGGACAAAGACUGACGCUCAGGUGCGAAAGCGUGGGGAGCAAACAGGAUUAGAUACCCGGGUAGUC
rnacentral:rRNA from 1 species